AACGCUGGCGGUAGGCUUACACAUGCAAGUCGUGCGAGAAAGUAUCUUCGGAUAUGAGUAGAGCGGCGGACGGGUGAGUAACGCGUAGGAAUCUACCUAGUAGAAGGGGAUAGCCCGGGGAAACUCGGAUUAAUACCGUAUACCUCCUUCGGGAGAAAGAAGGCCUCUCUUUGAUGCUUUCGCUAUUAGAUGAGCCUGCGUAAGAUUAGCUUGUUGGUGAGGUAAAGGCUCACCAAGGCGACGAUCUUUAGCUGGUCUGAGAGGACGAUCAGCCACAUUGGGACUGAGACACGGCCCAGACUCCUACGGGAGGCAGCAGUGGGGAAUAUUGGACAAUGGGCGCAAGCCUGAUCCAGCCAUACCGCGUGUGUGAAGAAGGCCUUCGGGUUGUAAAGCACUUUAAGCAGGGAGAAAAAGUUAUAAGUUAAUACCUUAUAGCCGUGAUGUUACCUGCAGAAUAAGCACCGGCUAAUUC
rnacentral:rRNA from 1 species